AGAGUUUGAUCAUGGCUCAGAUUGAACGCUGGCGGCAUGCUUACACAUGCAAGUCGAACGGCAGCAUGAUCUAGCUUGCUAGAUUGAUGGCGAGUGGCGAACGGGUGAGUAAUACAUCGGAACGUGCCCUGUAGUGGGGGAUAACUAGUCGAAAGAUUAGCUAAUACCGCAUACGACCUGAGGGUGAAAGUGGGGGACCGCAAGGCCUCAUGCUAUAGGAGCGGCCGAUGUCUGAUUAGCUAGUUGGUGAGGUAAAGGCUCACCAAGGCGACGAUCAGUAGCUGGUCUGAGAGGACGAUCAGCCACACUGGGACUGAGACACGGCCCAGACUCCUACGGGAGGCAGCAGUGGGGAAUUUUGGACAAUGGGCGAAAGCCUGAUCCAGCAAUGCCGCGUGUGUGAAGAAGGCCUUCGGGUUGUAAAGCACUUUUGUCCGGAAAGAAAUGGCUCUGGUUAAUACCUGGGGUCGAUGACGGUACCGGAAGAAUAAGGACCGGCUAACUACGUGCCAGCAGCCGCGGUAAUACGUAGGGUCCAAGCGUUAAUCGGAAUUACUGGGCGUAAAGCGUGCGCAGGCGGUUGUGCAAGACCGAUGUGAAAUCCCCGAGCUUAACUUGGGAAUUGCAUUGGUGACUGCACGGCUAGAGUGUGUCAGAGGGGGGUAGAAUUCCACGUGUAGCAGUGAAAUGCGUAGAGAUGUGGAGGAAUACCGAUGGCGAAGGCAGCCCCCUGGGAUAACACUGACGCUCAUGCACGAAAGCGUGGGGAGCAAACAGGAUUAGAUACCCUGGUAGUCCACGCCCUAAACGAUGUCAACUAGUUGUUGGGGAUUCAUUUCCUUAGUAACGUAGCUAACGCGUGAAGUUGACCGCCUGGGGAGUACGGUCGCAAGAUUAAAACUCAAAGGAAUUGACGG
rnacentral:rRNA from 1 species